UGGUUCUGGCAUCGAUGAAGAACGCAGCGAAAUGCGAUAAGUAAUGUGAAUUGCAGAAUUCAGUGAAUCAUCGAAUCUUUGAACGCAUAUUGCGCCCUUUGGUAUUCCGAAGGGCAUGCCUGUUCGAGCGUCAUUUAACCCCUCAAACUUUUGUUUGAUGUUGGGCCUUGCCAUGGAAAGCAAGCCUAAAAGAUAGUGCUGGUACCUAUUCAACCACAAGCGCACAGAUGUCGUGAUGAUGGAAGAUGGGUUUUGGCUUCAUCAAAUUUCUAAAUGUUGACCUCGGAUCAGGUAGGGAUACCCGCUGA
rnacentral:misc_RNA from 1 species